UGUGUUGUUGACUGGAUUUGAUUGACAUCCAAACACCUUGAAAUAUUCAUAUUGUAGCUUCUGGCAUAAAUGCCAUGCAGUACAACAUGCCGUUUCCAAAUUUCUAGCAGAGUGAAUUGCGUCAUGGUGCUGUUCUUCUCAC